rnacentral:rRNA from 1 species
AUUGAACGCUGGCGGCAUGCUUUACACAUGCAAGUCGAACGGCAGCGCGGGCUUCGGCCUGGCGGCGAGUGGCGAACGGGUGUGUAAUGCAUCGGAACGUGCCCAGUAGUGGGGGAUAGCCCGGCGAAAGCCGGAUUAAUACCGCAUACGACCUGAGGGUGAAAGCGGGGGACCGAAAGGCCUCGCGCUAUUGGAGCGGCCGAUGUCGGAUUAGCUAGUUGGUGGGGUAAAGGCCUACCAAGGCGACGAUCCGUAGCUGGUCUGAGCGGACGACCAGCCACAUUGGGACUGAGACACGGCCCAGACUCCUACGGGAGGCCGCAGUGGGGAAUUUUGGACAAUGGGGGCAACCCUUAUCCAGCCAUGCCGCGUGCGGGAAGAAGGCCUCCGGGUUGUAAUCCGCUUUUGUUCGGGAAGAAAUCCUCUGGGCUAAUACCCCGGGGGGAUGACGGUACCGGAAGAAUAAGCACCGGCUAACUACGUG